rnacentral:rRNA from 1 species
CUUGUUGAGAGUUUGAUCCUGGCUCAGGAUGAACGCUGGCGGCGUGGAUAAGGCAUGCAAGUCGAAAGGGUUUAGACCCUUGGCAAACGGGUUCGGAACGCGUAGGUAUCUGCCUCGAAGUCGCGAAUAACCUGGAGAAAUCCAGGACAAUACGCGAUGUGCUCUACGGAGUAAAGAUUUAUCGCUUCGAGAGGAGCCUGCGUCCUAUCAGCUUGUUGGUGAGGUAACGGCUCACCAAGGCGAUGACGGGUAGGGGGUGUGAGAGCAUGGCCCCCAACAUUGGCACUGAGACACUGGCCAAACACCUACGGGUGGCUGCAGUCGAGAAUAUUCCACAAUGGACGAAAGUCUGAUGGAGCGACGCCGCGUGCAGGAAGACGGUCUUCGGAUUGUAAACUGCUUUUCUCUGGGAAGAACUUCGGUGACUGUACCAGAGGAAUAAGGGGUUACUAACUCUGUGCCAGCAGUAGCGGUAAUACAGAGACCCCAAGCGUUAUCCGGAUUUAUUGGGCGUAAAGGGCAGGUAGGCGGACAUGUUAGUCGGAUGUCAAAUAUCCCGGCUCAACCGGGAAAAGGCAUUCGAAACGGCAUGUCUCGAGAAUGUGAGAGAUCGGUGGAAUUCACGGUGUAGUAGUGAAAUGCGUUGAUAUCGUGAGGAACACCCAAGGCGAAGGCAACCGAUUGGCACAUUUCUGACGCUGAGCUGCGAAAGCGUGGGGAGCGAAUGGGAUUAGAUACCCCAGUAGUCCACGCCCUAAACGAUGCAUACUAGGUGCGGGGAGAAUCGACCCUUUCCGUGCCGGAGCUAACGCGUUAAGUAUGCCGCCUGGGAAGUACGAGCGCAAGCUUAAAACUCAAAGGAAUAGACGGGGAUCCGCACAAGUGGUGGAGCAUGUGGUUUAAUUCGACGCUAAGCGAGGAACCUUACCAGGGCUUGAAAUCUAGCUGCAAAGUCUGGAAACAGACCUACCUUCGAGGGUGCUAGACCAGGUGCUGCAUGGUCGUCGUCAGCUCGUGCCGUAAGGUGUUCCGUUCAGUCGGGAAACGAGCGCAACCCCCAUGAAGUGUUUUAUAUGUCACUUCAGACUGCCCACCCCAUCGCGCGGAAGCGCGAAUGACCAAUAACCAAAAUCCAAUUUCCAAAGUUUUUCUUUGAUGAUUGGUGCUUGGGAUUUGGUGAUUCGUUCGCUUGCGAACGGUGGGGUGGGAGGAAGGCGGGGAUGACGUCAGAUCAGCAUGGCCCUCUGACGCCCUGGGCUACACACGUGCUACAAUGGCGGGGUACAAAGGGUUUGCCAAAUCGCAAGAUGGAGCUAAUCCCAGAAAACCCGCCUCAGUUCGGAUUGGAGGCUGCAACUCGCCUCCAUGAAGCCGGAAUCACUAGUAAUCGUGAAUCAGCAAUGUCACGGUGAAUACGUUCUCGGAUCUUGUACUCACAAUAAAAGCGCCGGGCAGUCCGUAAUUCUAGG